CACUUUAAAAGGAGAUAAAGAAAAAAACAAAUUAUUAAAAUCAGGCCAAACCAAGUCCACUCUCGAAGGAAGACGCGAAGAAUUAUAUUAAAGACAUCUUUCUGGCGAGACGUGCCAAGUGCGAACGUGACGGGUCAAAAAAGUUUCUUAUCUGACAUCCGGAUUUUAGUGAUAAUCAAUAUUUCCAAAAGCAACAAAACUGGCACAAUUGAGGUGAGUCAUUCGAGGUCAAAAUCAAACGUCAAAUUCGAUGGGACACUCACGCUGAGGCAUUCCAUUGCAGUUCCUGCUUGGUGAAAAAAAGUCGACAUUUUGAUCUAAAUUCAAAUAUUCUACAGUUAGCUACGCACUAAAAA